UACGUAGGGUGCGAGCGUUGUCCGGAAUUACUGGGCGUAAAGAGCUCGUAGGUGGUUUGUCGCGUUGUCCGUGAAAACUCACAGCUUAACUGUGGGCGUGCGGGCGAUACGGGCAGACUGGAGUACUGCAGGGGAGACUGGAAUUCCUGGUGUAGCGGUGGAAUGCGCAGAUAUCUGGAGGAACACCGGUGGCGAAGGCGGCAUCCUGGACCGGUAUUGACGCUGAGGCGCGAAAGCUAGGGGAGCAAACGGG
rnacentral:rRNA from 1 species